AUUGAACGCUGGCGGCAGGCUUAACACAUGCAAGUCGAGCGGAGAUGAGGUGCUUGCACCUUAUCUUAGCGGCGGACGGGUGAGUAAUGCUUAGGAAUCUGCCUAUUAGUGGGGGACAACAUUCCGAAAGGAAUGCUAAUACCGCAUACGCCCUACGGGGGAAAGCAGGGGAUCUUCGGACCUUGCGCUAAUAGAUGAGCCUAAGUCGGAUUAGCUAGUUGGUGGGGUAAAGGCCUACCAAGGCAACGAUCUGUAGCGGGUCUGAGAGGAUGAUCCGCCACACGGGGACUGAGACACGGCCCAGACUCCUACGGGAGGCAGCAGUGGGGAAUAUUGGACAAUGGGCGGAAGCCUGAUCUAGCCAUGCCGCGUGUGUGAAGAAGGCCUUUUGGUUGUAAAGCACUUUAAGCGAGGAGGAGGCUACCUGGAUUAAUACUCUAGGAUAGUGGACGUUACUCGCAGAAUAAGCACCGGCUAACUCUGUGCCAGCCGCCGCCGUAAAAC
rnacentral:rRNA from 1 species